AUUGAACGCUGGCGGCAGGCCUAACACAUGCAAGUCGAACGGUAACAGGAAGACGCUUGCUUCUUUGCUGACGAGUGGCGGACGGGUGAGUAAUGUCUGGGAAACUGCCUGAUGGAGGGGGAUAACUACUGGAAACGGUAGCUAAUACCGCAUAACGUCGCAAGACCAAAGAGGGGGACCUUCGGGCCUCUUGCCAUCGGAUGUGCCCAGAUGGGAUUAGCUAGUAGGUGGGGUAACGGCUCACCUAGGCGACGAUCCCUAGCUGGUCUGAGAGGAUGACGAGCCACACUGGAACUGAGACACGGUCCAGACUCCUACGGGAGGCAGCAGUGGGGAAUAUUGCACAAUGGGCGCAAGCCUGAUGCAGCCAUGCCGCGUGUAUGAAGAAGGCCUUCUGGUUGUAAAGUACUUUCAGCGGGGAGGAAGGGAGUAAAGUUAAUACCUUGACGCAUUGACGUUACCCGCAGAAGAAGCACCGGCUAACUCCGUG
rnacentral:rRNA from 1 species